rnacentral:rRNA from 1 species
AGCGAACGCUGGCGGCAGGCCUAACACAUGCAAGUCGAACGAACCUUUCGGGGUUAGUGGUGGACGGGUGAGUAACACGUGGGAACGUGCCUUUAGGUUCGGAAUAACUCAGGGAAACUUGUGCUAAUACCGAAUGUGCCCUUCGGGGGAAAGAUUUAUCGCCUUUAGAGCGGCCCGCGUCUGAUUAGCUAGUUGGUUGAGGUAAUGGCUCACCAAGGCGACGAUCAGUAGCUGGUCUGAGAGGAUGAUCAGCCACAUUGGGACUGAGACACGGCCCAAACUCCUACGGGAAGCAGCAGUGGGGAAUCUUGCGCAAUGGGCGAAAGCCUGACGCAGCCAUGCCGCGUGAAUGAUGAAGGUCUUAGGAUUGUAAAAUUCUUUCACCGGGGACGAUAAUGACGGUACCCGGAGAAGAAGCCCCGGCUAACUUCGUG